rnacentral:rRNA from 1 species
AUUGAACGCUGGCGGCAUGCCUUACACAUGCAAGUCGAACGGCAGCACGGGAGCAAUCCUGGUGGCGAGUGGCGAACGGGUGAGUAAUAUAUCGGAACGUGCCCAGUCGUGGGGAUAACGUAGCGAAAGCUACGCUAAUACCGCAUACGAUCUAUGGAUGAAAGCGGGGGAUCGCAAGACCUCGCGCGAUUGGAGCGGCCGAUAUCAGAUUAGGUAGUUGGUGAGGUAAAGGCUCACCAAGCCGACGAUCUGUAGCUGGUCUGAGAGGACGACCAGCCACACUGGGACUGAGACACGGCCCAGACUCCUACGGGAGGCAGCAGUGGGGAAUUUUGGACAAUGGGCGCAAGCCUGAUCCAGCAAUGCCGCGUGCAGGAUGAAGGCCUUCGGUUGUAACUGCUUUGUACGGAACGAAACGGUGAGCUCUAAUACAGUUUG